ensembl:lncRNA
CUGAGCCACAUCCUGUGAGCUGUCUUACAGAUACUGAAACCCUAGGAAGAGAAGUUCACUACAUGAUGAUCAGGCUGAACCCAGGACAUGAGCUGCCACAAUUCUGAGAAUUGACUGCAAAGAAAUGGGAACAGAUGGACCCUGGGCCUAAAGACGAAGCACCUAAAACAACCAAGAUGACGCUGGUCGGACCACUGAGGACCAGUUGAAGAAAAGCAGUAAAACCCUUCAUGGUGGCGACUGCUCCUUGCGACCAGCAAAGGCUCCAUGAGACCUGCAGAAACCUAGCAGAAACCACAUGUUUGAGAGAAUAUGUGCCUGAUCGCUCGUGUCUCCCCUUCACCCAAAUCACAUAUAUAUAUACUGACCCCCUUGCCUGCCUCCCCCCACCCCUCUUUGGAACAGUUCCUCAGACUUAACUGAGGGGCUGGCUCUUGGGCUGCAGUCCUCAUUUUGUCCCAAAUAAAAUUUGACUUGCAACUCUCAGGCUGUGCAUUUUUUUUUUUUUUUAAAGUCAGUACCUUUCUUAGUAGACACCUUUAACUUUACAAAGUCCACAAUGUUUUUUCUCACAUGGACUGGCUUUUUGUGUAUUAAAACUCAAAGCUUGUGAUCUAUGGAUCAAACCCCACAUCAUGUAGAUUUUCUUGUUUCUUUGUAAUUUUGAUGAUUUUGAGUUAUAAAUGUCUUAAUCAGUUUGAGUGAAUUUGGUGUAAAGUUUUCAAGUUUGUAUUUACAGUAAUUUCA